rnacentral:lncRNA from 1 species
AAUCCUGUCACACCUGGGAUUGAGGUGCUUGUAACCUGAAGAUGCAGCAUAUCCACUCAGCCCUGCAGAGGAACUCCACGGCUUUUUUCCUUGAGCUUGGGAAUACGUGGGCAUUUGGAGAAUCGAG